rnacentral:misc_RNA from 1 species
GUAUUUCGUUUAAGAAAUUCGAUUACAUGCAUUAGACUGGAUGUUGUAUGAAAGAGGAAGCGAGGCCCCAGCCCCACCCCCACUCCACGAAGGAGAGGUUACGUGGAGCGGCUCCAUCACAGGGAGGGCCUCGUCCUAUAGUGCACAAGUGUGUGUAAUGGAUGAAGAGGUUCGAGAGGUCGUGCACGUUACACGCCGUAAGGCAUGCCAGCGACGGACCUCCCGCCUCUAUUACAUUCGAUAAUGAUCCUUCCGCAGGUUCACCUACGGAAA